AACGCGAAGAACCUUACCAGGGUUUGACAUGGGCAGGAAGUCACCAGAAACGGUGGUCCCUUCGGGGUCUGUCCACAGGUGGUGCAUGGCUGUCGUCAGCUCGCGUCGUGAGAUGUUGGGUUAAGUCCCGCAACGAGCGCAACCCCUGUCCUAUGUUGCCAGCGGGUAAUGCCGGGGACUCAUGGGAGACCGCCGGUGCCAAACCGGAGGAAGGUGGGGAUGAAGUCAAGUCAGCAUGCCCCUUACGUCCAGGGCUGCACACGCGCUACAAUGGCCGGUACAAAGGGUUGCAAACUCGCGAGGGUGAGCUAAUCCCAAAAAACCGGUCUCAGUUCGGAUUGCAGUCUGCAACUCGACUGCAUGAAGUCGGAGUCGCUAGUAAUCGCAGAUCAGCACGCUGCGGUGAAUACGUUCCCGGGUCUUGUCACCCA
rnacentral:rRNA from 1 species